rnacentral:rRNA from 1 species
CUACGGGGGGCACCAGUGGGGAAUAUUGCACAAUGGGCGCAAGCCUGAUGCAGCCAUGCCGCGUGUAUGAAGAAGGCCUUCGGGUUGUAAAGUACUUUCAGCGGGGAGGAAGGGAGUAAAGUUAAUACCUUUGCUCAUUGACGUUACCCGCAGAAGAAGCACCGGCUAACUCCGUGCCAGCAGCCGCGGUAAUACGGAGGGUGCAAGCGGUAAUCGGAAUUACUGGGCGUAAAGCGCACGCAGGCGGUUUGUUAAGUCAGAUGUGAAAUCCCCGGGCUCAACCUGGGAACUGCAUCUGAUACUGGCAAGCAUGAGUCUCGUAGAGGGGGGUAGAAUUCCAGGUGUAGCGGUGAUAUGCGUAGAGAUCUGGAGGAAUACCGGUGGCGAAGGCGGCCCCCUGGACGAAGACUGACGCUCAGGUGCGAAAGCGUGGGGAGCAAACAGGAUUAGAUACCCCGGUAGUC